rnacentral:rRNA from 1 species
AUUGAACGCUGGCGGCAGGCUUAACACAUGCAAGUCGAGCGGGGUGAUGGUGCUUGCACUAUCACUUAGCGGCGGACGGGUGAGUAAUGCUUAGGAAUCUGCCUAUUAGUGGGGGACAACAUCUCGAAAGGGAUGCUAAUACCGCAUACGUCCUACGGGAGAAAGCAGGGGAUCACUUGUGACCUUGCGCUAAUAGAUGAGCCUAAGUCGGAUUAGCUAGUUGGUGGGGUAAAGGCCUACCAAGGCGACGAUCUGUAGCGGGUCUGAGAGGAUGAGCCGCCGCACUGGGACUGAGACACGGCCCAGACUCCUACGGGAGGCAGCAGUGGGGAAUAUUGGGCAAUGGGGGGAACCCUGAUCCAGCCAUGCCGCGUGUGUGAAGAAGGCCUUAUGGUUGUAAAGCACUUUAAGCGAGGAGGAGGCUCUUUUGGUUAAUACCCAAGAUGAGUGGACGUUACUCGCAGAAUAAGCACCGGCUAACUCUGUGCCAGCCGCCGCGGUAA